rnacentral:rRNA from 1 species
CGGCGAGUGAAGAGGGAAGAGCCCAAGAUUGAAAGCUGGCGCCUUCGGCGUCCGCAUUGUWWUCUCAAGAAGUGUUUUCCGCUUCGGACCAUGCCUAAGUCCCUUGGAAAAGGGCAUCAUAGAGGGUGAUAAUCCCGUACAUGGCAUGGAGCGCCCGAAGCUUUGUGAUACGCUUUCUAAGAGUCGAGUUGUUUGGGAAUGCAGCUCAAAAUGGGUGGUAAAUGCCAUCUAAGGCUAAAUAUUGGGGAGAGACCGAUAGCGAACAAGUACAGUGAUGGAAAGAUGAAAAGAACUUUGAAAAGAGAGUUAAACAGUACGUGAAAUUGCCAAAAGGGAAGGGUAGGAGGUCAGAGAUGCGUCGCAGGAUUCAACCUUGCUUUUGCUUGGUGUUUUUCCUGCGUUGCAGGCCAACGUCGGUUUUGGGCACUGGAGAAGGGUAGGAGGAACGUGGCACCUCUCGGGGUGUGUUAUAGCCUCCUACUGGAUACAGCGACCGAGACCGAGGAACGCAGCGUACUCGUAAGAGCGGGCCUUUUGGCACCUUUACGCUUAGGGCGUUGGCAUAAUGGCCCUCUACCACCCGUCUUGAAACACGGACCCA